rnacentral:lncRNA from 1 species
UCUGUUACAAAGCUUCACUGUGAUCUAUCAGAUGCGGUACGCCUUAAUUCGCCAAAAAUUCUUGUAGCCUAGAUGAUUAUACUUCCUACAUAUACAACGAUGUCGUCUAAUACGAGGGUGCAACAUGUUGGGACUGGGGUACACUGUAUUGAUUUUAGGUGCAAUACAUUAGUAAUCACCCAACUAUUAAUAUUUUUUUUUUGUCUCUCAAUUAUGGAAAACUACAAAAUAAUACUAUUCAAUUUUGCUUUUUUUGUCACCUGAUUUUUUUAUAUUUUUAUUUUUACAUUAAUUAGCUGGUGAUAAAAAAAAAUAAAGCUGAACAGUUAAGUGAUCAUUUUGUAAUUUUCUCUAAUUUGGUUACCAAAGAAGAAAAGAAAACCAUAACUGAGUGACCUCUACUGUAAUUUACCCAUUGGUUUUCUAUAUCAUGCUGCUACUUUAUUACAACAUCUACUAACCUUUUGCCUUUAAUUAUCAAUUGGUGAAGGUAAAUAUUUUGACACAUACUUCAGAGGUAGCCUUAAGCGAUGAGCAGCUUGCCGCAAUGGAGAAGUUGAAAAUGAAACACAAGGCACAGGAUGAAAAGGAGAGUUUAGAAAGAGAGCGACUUAAAAAAGGCUUUGAUGAAUCGGAAGCCACCAAUUGGGGUG